rnacentral:lncRNA from 1 species
AUAUAAAACAGUGUAUCCCAGAACUUAGCGUAGAAUCGCAUCUGCAACGCUCUGGAAUACAUGCAGAGACACAGUCCGGCGGCCAUAUUGACCUAGUUUGUUUUGACGAGUAAACAAACCAGCACGUGGCUUUUGACACGAUCUUACCUUGAAGAUGGCAACAGAUUAGCAGCCAAAAUAUCGUGUCAAGAAAUACCUAUAGCUGAUUAAUUUCUGGUUAAAAUUAUGAAAGUCACUUUGAGGAUGAGGAAAUCCUAAUCAUGAACAAAGGUUGUUUUUCUCUCUCAAGGAUUUGUUCAGUGCUUCAUGAAGGGGGAAAUGUGUGCCUGGGACUGCAUGUAUAGCUCAUUAUGACGAAAUAAUAUGCAAGAAUUAUGCAAUGCUUUGAUGGUGCCUAACCAAGAAAAAAGUAGAUCAGGGGUAAACCAUGGAUGUAUCUAACUCGGCGGUGAGAAAUAGAAGUUUAUGAGAAUGUUUAUGCAAACUUCAUUAAAAACUGGGCAUGAGAAUACUAUCGACAGACUGUUGCCAACCUAGCACAGAGAAAGCAAUGAGAGAUGUUUACAUUAACUUGGAGAAAAUUUCUAAAUAAGGGGUUAGUCAGAACCUUUGAAGUAGUAUUGAUAUCCAGAAGACGAGGAUAGAUACAUGUAAGAAGACAGCUAAGUUAUUGUCUUCUACCAUGGCCAAUCGUCGAAAGGUUUUGUUUUUGGUUCCGAGAAAUAUGACGAAAUGCGAAAAAUCGUCCAAUUGAGUGACAGGUCUACUUGCAGGUGGACAUGCAAGCUAUUUGGGAAGUCGCAAGGAUACCAAAGAAAUCGGUAUAAGAACUCCUGUUGUUGGCCAGAAAGUUAGUUGGAAGUUCAGCUGCCAAGGAGAAUUGCUGCCAGUUGAAGAGAGUUCUGGAGUAAUUAUUGAGUUAGUUAGAACAGAGUCAGAAGUCACGUUUUGAGCUGCCAAAGAUAAUUGCUGCCAGUCAAACAGUUAGUUGACUUUGAUGAGUCAGAAAUUGAGUUCUGCUGCCGAAGAUAUGAUGUAAGAAACAGCCAUGCCAGUGUCUCCCCUGCAAGGUCCAGCGAGUAUGUCUCGCUUUUGCUUCGUGUAAGUAACAAUGCUACCUCUCUUGAGUCAAAGAACAUAAAUAGAAGUUGAUG